CACCGCAGACUUACACUCCGCCGCCGCCUCCUGGGAAUCAGGUCUAUCCACCACCGCUUCCUCCUGGGUAUCAGGGUUACUUCAACGAAGGGUACCCUCCACAACGGCCACCCGGGCAGUACCCUCCCUACCAGCAAUACCAGUACAACGAUCAAGCUGGCUGUGACUCGGUCCUUAAAGGGUGUUUGGCUGCUCUCUGUUGCUGCUGUGUGUUGGAAGAGUGCUGCUUCUAAGCCUUUAUUGAGGCCUCUGAUGAUGUACAUGGGAUGUGGUACAUACUGCUGUUGCUAUUUACAAUUUAUUUUAUGUUGUUUGAUAUUCUCCUAAAACCCAGUCUUUGGUAUCCCUUGUCUAUGUAAUGGAACACAUUUCAUUAUGUUGCAUGAACUUUAUCAAUGAAAACUAUGACCAUAAUUCUUA